UAGCGGAGGAAAAGAAACCAACAGGGAUUGCCCUAGUAACGGCGAGUGAAGCGGCAACAGCUCAAAUUUGAAAUCUGGCGUCUUUGGCGUCCGAGUUGUAAUUUGCAGAGGGCGCUUUGGCAUUGGCAGCGGUCCAAGUUCCUUGGAACAGGACGUCACAGAGGGUGAGAAUCCCGUACGUGGUCGCUAGCCUUUACCGUGUAAAGCCCCUUCGACGAGUCGAGUUGUUUGGGAAUGCAGCUCUAAAUGGGAGGUAAAUUUCUUCUAAAGCUAAAUACUGGCCAGAGACCGAUAGCGCACAAGUAGAGUGAUCGAAAGAUGAAAAGCACUUUGGAAAGAGAGUUAAAAAGCACGUGAAAUUGUUGAAAGGGAAGCGCUUGCAGCCAGACUUGCCUGCAGUUGCUCAUCCGGGUUUCUACCCGGUGCACUCUUCUAUAGGCAGGCCAGCAUCAGUUUGGGCGGUUGGAUAAAGGUCUCUGUCAUGUACCUCUCUUCGGGGAGAACUUAUAGGGGAGACGACAUGCAACCAGCCUGGACUGAGGUCCGCGCAUCUGCUAGGAUGCUGGCGUAAUGGCUGUAAGCGGCCCGUCU
rnacentral:sRNA from 1 species